CUUGCAUUGAUUAACAUUCACCGCACCAGCAUCUUACAAUCGUUAGCCUUCUGUAGGUCGACCAUUGCGAUCUUCGCAAUAUUCAUUGCAUAUACAGUUUACGCAUUAACUUCAAAAUAACCGUACGACAGACGGACAACAUCCCAGAAUGAACAUAAUACCCCCAUUCGGCCCUCCCCGACCUUAUGAAAAUGACUUGAGAAAAGAGGAAAAACGAUCCACUACUCAGGUCCGUCAAUGACACAUUUGAUAACACCCUUUCCAUUCUUAUCCCUCCCGUUUUUGGUAAUCUCAAAUGCCUCAAGGGCGUCUUCAAACUUGAAGGUAUGCGUUAGAAGAGGUUUAAGAUCGACAAGACCACGCGCAACCAUAUCAAUGGCGAGAGGAUAAUCGCCAGAGCCAUAACUUUUAGGACAGGAUGGGUCAGGUUAUGCUGGGACAGACACGUUGGGUGGACCAAAACCAAUUUGCACAUAGAUCCCCCUAUAUUAGUCUCAUCAGUAUGGACCGUCCUCAACAAUCACAUGUAACGCGUGAAAAACUUACCCUGGCUUGAUGGCAUUCAAACCCAUUAACACGCAAGUCUCGGCACCUGUUGCGUCGACAACCAGAUCAAUGGAGCCUGGGCCGCGGGCGGGGAUACCAGUGGAACGAAGAAGAUCCUCAGCCGCUCGGACAGCAUGAUCGCCCCUAGACUCUCCUUCAUUUGGCGGGAUCUGUCAGGAGCAUCGGAAUCGUCAUCAGCGCCGUUCAUAUCGAUACAAGGAAACAUACAGGGAUGUAAGUAUCUGUGGCCGCGUACUGCUUCGCGAAAUGCAACCUUUCUUCGUUGAUGUCAACGGCUACUAUCUUCCCAGCCCCUAAACCUUUAGCAACGGCCAUAGCCAACAACCCUACUGGGCCUGCACCAGUGAUGAGAACGUUCCAGCCGGUACGCAUACCGCCAACAUUAGCAACUGCAUGAGUAGCCACAGAAAGAGGUUCCAUCAUUGCCCCGAAAGAGAGAUCAACAGUGUCAGGAAGAGGAUAGACAAGGUCGGCAGGUCUAGGGAAGAAGAUAUCAGUCUCGGUUUCGCAUCAUUUCGAGAGACCGACGAACAAAGCAUAAUAACGCUGGAGGGUACCACCUGUGGAUGGUGGGUAGGCCGCAAAUAUCAUGUGCUCACAUAUCUAUAGAGCAUCAGCUUCUCGCUACUUCUACAGCAGAGGAUGUGGAAAGUGUCUUCACCUGAUAUUGGCCGCCCUUGCAAUCUACGCACAUCCUACAAGUAACUCCCGGUUCAAGAGCGACUUUGUCUCCUACUUGAAGCGGCCUAUUAGAUACAGUGCCUUUGUUGGAUUCUUCGGCUUCUCCUCGUGCAGUUGCCAUCAGAUUGGAGCGAGCCGCUUGCUGGACAAUGUUAGAGCCAAGCUGAACAAUGAUACCAGACGAUUCAUGGCCCAAGCACAUGGGUUCUGUGAGAGUAGCAAGACCCAUUCUACCAGUGUUAUAAACUAUGAGAGAAACAUCAGUCAUUAGUCAAAGAUUGUUCAGUAUAUGCUAAAAGAUAGGGGUACCAACAGUGAACAUCAGAGCCACAAAUACCCUUUGGAGAU
rnacentral:sRNA from 1 species